CCGGGCGUGGCGGAACGGUAUACGCAUUCGACUUAAAAUCGAACGCCUUUAUGGCUUACGGGUUCAAAUCCCGUCGCCCGGA
rnacentral:tRNA from 1 species